rnacentral:rRNA from 1 species
GUGCCAGCAGCCGCCGUAAUACGGGGGGGUGCGAGCGUUAAUCGGAAUAACUGGGCGUAAGGGCCCGCAGGCGGUGACUUAAGUGAGAUGUGAAAGCCCCGGGCUUAACCCUGGGAAUUGCAUUUCAUACUGGGUCGCUAGAGUACUUUAGGGAGGGGUAGAAUUCCACGUGUAGCGGUGAAAUGCGUAGAGAUGUGGAGGAAUACCGAAGGCGAAGGCAGCCCCUUGGGAAUGUACUGACGCUCAUGUGCGAAAGCGUGGGGAGCAAACAGGAUUAGAUACCCUGGUAGUCC